UUCCUUAUCCCCUCCCUCCCUCGCUAUCCCACCACCACAACAGCCUUUGAAAAAGUGUGGUAUUUCACAUGCAGAGGUGUUUAGAAUAAUAGCAGGAAUCAGCUCCUUUCAUGUAGUCUCUUUUCAGUGCAGACGAGCGCGCCGGCGGUGUUCUCCGCCGUUUGAUUCCGGGGCCUUGAAGAUGCAAAGGCAGAGGGAUGUGAGGGCUGCUUAUCUCCCUCCUGACGCAGCCAAUCAUGUCGUUGAAUGACAGUCCGAACCCAGCUGAUACCCCCCACCCUCUGCACCUUUCUUCUUCCUCAACUCUUUUGAAAUAACAUUCGUUCUUCCACCAUUUUUUUUUUAAUUUUGUUUUUGUGUUCAAGCUUUUCCUUAUUCCUGUUUGCGCUGUCUUCUCCCGUGGACCCUCUCCCCACUUUCCACAUGCGAGCACCCCCCACCACCAGCAUCAGCUGCAUACGUGCAACUGGUGGUCUCGUUGAUAAACACAGGGGCACAUCUCCCACACUCAGUCAGGGGUUCCAAACACUGAACAAAAAGCAGAGACAGAACUAACUUUAUUGCACCCCGGCGCGUGGUGACAAAACAACUAUUUGUGUGAGCACAACAGUCCACCGCUUUCUCUCCUCUUUCUCUCAUCACUCGCCUGCUGCUGACUGCAGAUGCAGCCGGUAAUGCAGGGGAAAAAAGAAAAGAAAAAAAAGAAAAGAAAAAAAAAGGAAAGCCAGUAGAUACGAUUUACUGGAAUCAACAGGAGUUUGUCACAUUUUUAGCUGACGCCAAUGAAACAAGAGAACUGUUUGCACCAAUUAGGCUGCAGCAAAGUGUUCACCUUGURUUUAGACAGAUAAACAAAAUCACACUUUAAGAUUUCUAAGAUGCAUCUACAGAUGAAGAUGUUGUUUCCAUAGUAAUGAAUUGGUGGAGCUUAGAAUUUUUUUUUGAACAAGAUAAAGCAGCAAGAGUUGGAAAAUGUCUAACGUAGAAUUGAUCAACUUUUCUUUGUCGAAUUUAAAUUGAUUCUUUUCAGAUUUCUUAGUUAUGUAAAAAUGAGGUUUUUGAUUCUUCUGAUUAAUAAGAAAACACAUUGUGCAGAACAAUACCUUCAGAAUGAACUAAUGGAUGAGUCAGUCCCAUGUGAUUUGUGCUCUCUCUCUCUCUCUCUCUCUCUCUCUCUCUCUCUCUCUCUGUUUCUCUUUGCUUCCUUUCUUGCAGAACCUGAGCAGUUUCAGCAGCUUGUGAAAUCCCCACCCUUCCUUCCAGCUCUCUCCUGCUGCACGGCGUUGAGCGCAGGACAAGGGGGAUGGGGAGGCGCGAUGCAGGAGGCAGGAGAGAAGGUGGAAGGGGAGUGACCGCUUGCUCCCGUCUCGACCACGGGUAUUCUUGGGUUGAUAAUACAGAUGUCGAUGUUAUUGCUUGAGAAUACGCGUAGCUGAGCGGAAGCCAUCGUCCUCGGCUCUUCAUGAAAGCCGCCAGUCAUCAGGAGAGCAGCGCAACAACUAUAUGGACUUGGGACCUGUCCUGGUGAACUCCGCCCCUCACAUAAUGACCGCUGCAGAUAAAGACCAGCUCCCACAGACCUGUAAAGGAAGAGUUGAUGGAUGGACGGACGGACGGCUGAACGGACGGACCGACUGACUUUGAGUGAUUGUCACAGUACACACAUCUAAAUGAACUUAAAGAUCGUUCUGCUCUGAGUGAAAAAUAACCCAUUUGUGAUGAAUAUUAAUUGUAUAUUCCAAUUGUUUACAAUUAUUAUUAUUGCUGCUAGAGAAAUAGUCUGCAUKUUUAAGCGGGAUUCUGUAGAAACCUUAUUGUUACAACUCAUUUUGUAAUCUCACACUAUUCAAAGUUUGCAUUAGUUUUAAAUGACUUUUGACAACAAAAAGCAGACAAGACAUAAUUUACUAAGACUGAACAAAAGUGAAGUAUUAUUUUGUGUAUGUUUAUGUAAAAUUAUUCCAUUUUUUUCCAGGCUUUAUAAUGGAUCUUCACUCAAAAAAUAGAUGUAGUGGAUCUAGAUAAUAAAAAAACAUGUUAACUGUUUCCACUUGACUGAAUUGAGUAAACAUAACAUAUACGUAUAAAGUUUACUUUAUUUCAAGUUUACGUUAAGUAAAUGUAAGGUAAAUGCAAAGUAAAUGUGUUACCUUUAYYUAACUCACWUGAGYGGAAACAGUUGACAUAGUUUUUAAGUAAAUUCAGCAAGAGAUCAUUGUUAUUAUUUCUUCUUGAGUGAUGAUAAAGUGCUUUAUGUGAAUUUUUGAGCAACUUUUCACUGUUUUUUCUUUAUAGAGAAAAUAUUUUUCAAUCAAACCUCCUGCCACCUCAAAAUAAGCAAAUCUAACUCAAUAUUUCUUCUUUUCUGGGUCUUCAAAUAUGAGCCGAUACGUUUGUCAGCUAAAUAUGAAAAUUGUUAUACACAUUUUUCUUGAUAUAAUUUUAAAUGGCUGAAUUCCCACCCACUGGAUAUUUAACAAUGUCUUGAUGAAUGUAUUCAAUCAUUUAUUUAAGCUUUACAAUAAARUAAACAUAAAAACAGAA